rnacentral:misc_RNA from 1 species
GAUGAAGAACGCAGCGAAAAGCGAUAAGUAAUGUGAAUUUCAGAAUUCAGUGAAUCAUCGAAUCUUUGAACGCACCUUGCGCUCCUUGGUAUUCCAAAGAGCAUGCCUGUUUGAGUAUCAUUAAUUUAUCAACUGUACCAAUUUGGUUGCAGAUUGGAUGUGGGAGAUUUUGCAGGCUUUUGAUUUCUCUUUGAGAAAACGGUCAGCUCUCCUGAAAUAUAUUAGCAGUGCCUUUGUUGGUUCAUUAGGUGUGAUAAUUUAUCUACAUCUUCACAUGGUACCUUCAUUUGUGUAAAGGUCAUAUUGCUUCUAAUUGUCUUUGGACAUAAAAAAAAAAAAACAUAUAAUUGUAUGGAAAACUUGAUCUCAAAUCAGGCAGGACUACCCGCUGAACUUAAGCAUAUCAAUAAGCGGAGGA